rnacentral:lncRNA from 1 species
UCCCAGAUGAGUUGCUCCUCUUCUUGCUCAUAUUUAUAUUGCAGUCUUUAAUACCAAUUGAAUGCUUCACAUUAUAAUAAAUAAGCUGCAUAUCGAAUCUUUUCAUCAUCACAGCACUCUUGGAUAGCGAAUACCUUUUUCAUCUUUAUAAUCUAAUUAUCAACUUCCAAAGAUUCAACGGUCUCCUUGAAGGUUGGUGGAGUAAUCU